rnacentral:rRNA from 1 species
GACGAACGCUGGCGGCGUGCUUAACACAUGCAAGUCGAACGAAGUGGCGAACGGGUGAGUAAGGCGUAAUCAACCUGCCCUUCAGAGGGGGACAACAGUUGGAAACGACUGCUAACACCGCAUACUGAAGUAGGAGUUUGCGUCUGAUUAGCUAGUUGGAGGGGUAACGGCCCACCAAGGCGAUGAUCAGUAGCCGGUCGGGGAGGGUGAGCGGCCACAUUGGGAUUGGAACACGGCCCAGACUCCUACGGGAGGCAGCAGUGGGGAAUCUGCCGCAAUGGACGAAAGUCUGACGGAGCAACGCCGCGUGAGUGAUGACGGCCUUCGGGUUGUAAAGCUCUGUUAAUCGGGACGCGGUACCGGAAUAGAAAGCCACGGCUAACUACGUGCCAGCAGCCGCGGUAAUUC